CGGGAUGUGGCUCAGUCUGGUAGAGCGCCGCGUUCGGGACGCGGAGAUCGGAGGUUCAAAUCCUCUCAUCCCGACCA
rnacentral:tRNA from 1 species